CCGGACUGUAACCUGAGGAAACACAAGAGGGAAAAGAGGACAAGAGCCACAGUUAAGAAAAAUGAGCAAGGGAGAGGUUCCUGCUGACAAACUGUGAGGCGUACAGACACAGAAAUGCCACGAGGCCGGUUAGCAGGUUUCCUUUGGCUGGUGGCAAGUCUCUGAGCGAGAGGAUGGAGGGACGGACUCACAUACCCUGGAAGAACAGAGGAAAUGCCUGGAAGCAACUGUUCCCACAAGACCGAGUGCAGAGAUGAAUACAGAUCGGUCAGGUUUACACCUGAAGCAGACAUGUCAGAAACGAUAUGAGAGAGGAUGCACAUACAGACAUAAAACUCUGAUCCUAAUUAGGCCAUCGGGCAGAUAUUUGCUCAACACUUCAUCCAUAAACAACCAUAUAUUCAGCUAUGGAGACAAGAAGGAGAAACAUACAGAAGGGUGAUGCAUGGUGGGAAACAGGUUUUAUCGUUUAUGUGUUAGGGAGGUGAAGAGUAACAUUUUAGACAGGUUUGCCUUUGAGGAUAUUUAAUGGAAAAGCACGUUGUG